rnacentral:sRNA from 1 species
UUCAGAUCUCCGCCUGCUUCCUUAUA